GUGCCAGCAGCCGCGGUAAUACAGAGGGUGCAAGCGUUAAUCGGAGUUACUGGGCGUAAAGGGCGCGUAGGCGGUAUGUCAAGUGAGAUGUGAAAUCCCCGGGCUUAACCCGGGAACUGCAUUUCAAACUGACGUACUGGAGUACUGUAGAGGGUAGUGGAAUUUCCGGUGUAGCGGUGAAAUGCGUAGAGAUCGGAAGGAACACCAGUGGCGAAGGCGGCUACCUGGACAGAUACUGACGCUGAGGCGCGAGAGCGUGGGGAGCAAACAGGAUUAGAUACCCCGGUAGUCC
rnacentral:rRNA from 1 species